UAUCUAUCUAUCUAUCUAUCUGUCAUAUAGACCCUUUCAUAUCCAUCUAUCAUAUAGACUCUUUCAUAUCUAUCUAUCUAUUAUAUAGACCUUUCAUAUCUAUCUAUCUAUUAUAUAGACCCUUUCAUAUCUAUCUGUCUAUCUAUCUGGUUAGCAAGUGUAACAGGAAAAUGUCUAUAAGAGGUUGCAAGAUCGCAACAGGAAGAUCUUUAUUUGGAAGCUUGUUAGAGGUGUUAAAGUAAAGUAAAAUGACUUCCUAUCAAACUAUAUUAGUAAUAGCCAGAGGGAUCUGGCUAUGUAUGGGGAGUUUAAAGUGUAAUAGACAUUUUCAAGCAUAAUAUUUGUUCACAUAUAAAGUAUAUCUAUUGAUUCAUCCUUGAAAUAUAAUGUACUUUUAAAUAGUGCGGUAGGCAUUCAAGAUUAUCUGGGCUGCAGUUAAAAUUAAAGAAGAAAGGCAUGAAAUUGAAAGGUUGUACACAAACAACCCCCCAAGACAGUUUGGAGAAUGGUAGUCAGUUAGUUUCCUCCAUUAAUAGUGCCUAGAAGUUAAUAGUGGCCAUUUUGAACAUCUGCAUUUGUUCAGCACAUGUAUGAAACCGCUGCUCCUACACUCAGAAUCAUAUAUUUGAAGUUUAACUUUCUUCGCAGGAAGUAUUGAUUUCAUAAAUUCAAUUGAAAAACAUGUUUGGAGUGUUUUUGGAAAGUUGUUUGUCUGUGGUAAAAAUUCUGUGGAUGCUGUCGCUCAAGAACGAAUGGAUUGAUUCUUUUGAAAUUCUGUGGACAGCAUGCACUCGUUAGCCUUGAGAGUUGAUUAGGUUUUGGGUAAAUUCCAACUCUUCAACUCUGAGCUUUUUAAAGUUCGGGGUUUUUACCAACAAUAGCCAAACCACUGCUCAGAAGUUCACAAAUUUUGGCAUACGCCUUUCGGACUUUUUAAGAAAGACUUUUGUGAAAUUUGAAUUCAAUCCAAAAUUCGAGCUUUUAAUGUUCAAAAUUACUAAAUGCAGUAGCCACAGCAGCUAAGCUCUAAUUACAAAGAAACAUUUGAUUAUUUUUUUAUGCCUUUAUUAAAUUACUAGGAUGAGAAUUUAUUUGUGGCGAGUACUGAAAUUUGUUAUUAAAAAAGGUUUUCCUAAUUUGAACUUUGAAAGUAGCACCUUCAGUUUACGAGUCUAGGUGCUAGUUCCAAAACCACCCCGGGUAUGUGACAGGUUUGUGUUUGUACUCUUUUUCCUGUCAUUUUUUUAAAUCUGAAAUUAACCAAAGCAUUAAGAAAUUCAUACACAAUUCCUGUAGUUACAGGUGAACUGAUCCUUUAAGUUAAAUUAAUCAUAUUAGAACAUAAGAACAACACAUUUGACAAACGAGAUGAGACCCUCAGUCCAUCAGGCUCGUUUGUUUAGCUGAUAGCUAAGCUGAACCAAAAAUUUGUUACAUAAAAAUAUCUUAUUUUUUUCUUUUAAAUACAUUUGCCUUUAAAGAUGACUAAAACAUGAAAAGUGGUAUUGCCUCUUGCAUAUAUUUUGGUAAAUUCACGCUGUAAAUUGUACUCGUGUUGUAAAUAUAGAAAAAAUAAUGUGCUGGCCACAUUAGACUUUUAUUAUUAAUUGAAUUCAUAUUUGUGAUCCAUCUGUCUACCCAUCCAAUAAUGUCUGCUGAUAAGGCUAUCCCUUCCCAGCUUCUGAAAUUUGCAUUGCAGGAGGUUAUCAUAACAAGAGAAAAAACUCAAAUGCUUUCAUGAUCUCUUGCAUAGAUGAGCACUUGUAGCUCCAUUUGCACUUUAUUGUAAAUAUUUUAAGUGCCUGAUGGGAAAACUCUUUAACAUAAAGUGCACCAUUAUUCCUGAAUUUUAUUCUACAAUUCAUUUUGUAGACAUAGUGGAGCAUGCCCAUCCACUGGCAUGGCUCACAACUCUGUAUCCUGGCAUAAAAUCCUAGCCUGGUCACUAACUCUCUCUGCGAUGUUUGCACCUUCUUCCCGCUUCUGCAUGGGCUUUUCGUGGGUUUUAUGGUUUUCCUCUCAAAUCUAAGAGAUGCACUUAUUAGAUUAGCUGGUGCCUGUAAAUUGGCGCAGUGAGAGUGUGCGAAUGAAUGUGUCCUGCUUCAGACUAGUGCCAGUCCAGGGUUAGAUCGUCCUUUGAAUUGAAUGUUUUCAGAAUAGGCUCCUUUCUAAAAGUGAGUUUAGCAUAAGUAAAAGUGAAUGGAUACUCCUCAGUUACCGAUUGCAUGAACAUUGUGCGAGGUGCUGUGGACACGUAUUGCAAGUAAUUUUGUAAUGUAGGAGGCAUUUACAUUGUUCCCUUUAAGUUAAAAAGAUACUCGCAUCAUAAGCCAAAAAUGAAGACAGAAAGCACUCCACGUCACGUGUUUUCUAGUUAUUGUACCAGAAUGACAUCCCAUUUAGGGGCAAGUCUGCUGUCGCUGUCACACUCCUCCAUGACUUCAGCUGGUAUAAAGUAGGUCUAGAAAGUAGAUGGUUUACAGCAGGGUGCCAUCCUGCUUCUGUGUUCCCUGUCUGUUGAAUCUCUCAGUCUGUUCAUCUUUCCCUCUCUCUCUCUCUCUUUCUCUUUCUCCCAGCAUCCCUGCUUUUCUGCCCUCUGUCUAUCCAAUCACUUGCAGGUGGAGCCUAAUUAGUAAAUGUGCCAGGGCAGCAAUAAUAGGGAAAAAAAAGUCUGCUAGGUUUCCAGAUGAAGGGGAGCCAAGUGUUAAGCAUUUCAGAGUUUGCCAGCCAUCCAGCAGAUUAAGAAUCUGACAUGCAUCUCUGUGCUGAUACUAAAGAUAAAAGGCAAACACAGGAACACUUGUGCGAACAUGGAGACUGUUAGGCAGAGAAGAUGUUUUAUCUUCGUUUUUGGUUUCUGUCUCCUUUUUCAUUUACUGCAUUAAUGUUCUGCAUAUGUAGUUUGACACGAAUGUAUUUUUUAAACACGUUAAUGAUAGCACAAUUUUUCAUCACUGAUGAAUUUCAGAUGAUUUGACUAUUCUAAUUUUAUUAUUCUUGGUUUGUUUUUGAUUGCUUCCAAGCGUUCCCAAAGUUGAAACAGUGACAUUUGCUUCUUUCGCAAGUUCCAGUCAAACAGAAUCAGAUGCCCUCCAUCCCUCCUGAAACAAAAGCCUUGACUGUUACUCCCUGACGCCAGAAGCGUGAGUCAUUAUGCUAAUAAGCAGCUCUGUGCUGAAAGCCGCUCUGUAUUGGCUCACGAUUAACCCCCUAAACACCCAGAUUCUAUUUUUUUAAUCAAGACACGAUCAUGCACUUUUUUUAGAAUGUUGUUUAGCGAUUUCUUAAGGCAGAAGAGGAUAAUUAAAAAACAAAAAAAAUCCCCAUGCAAAGACAUAGAGGACCAAAGGGCAUCCAUCACCCAAUGCAACGUCAACCUGUUAGAUGACUCUUUGAGAAACAAAAGGAAAGACAUAACAAAGACGUAAAUAACAUGCAAACUUUCCUGGCAAAGCAUUCCAAACAGCUUGCAAAUUUAAGGUCUGGAAGGCGAGUGGGAUUUGUUCUUGGGCUGUGAGGAUGGAAAAAAUGGAGAGACUGAGGGCUUCUUCUAAGCAUGGACCUCUCUUGAAAUUGUUAGAAGAGUAGGAUGAAAGACUGUUAGUGGAACUGAGGCAAGCGGCCAUAGUAGGCAUGAAGCACUGGUGGCGUUGAGGACCAUCUAAUAGGGGGUUGGUGGCGGGUGUGAAAAUCUCCCAAAUUUGUUGACACUCACGGGCUCAGUGACUGAACUGCAGAUAAUCUCUUAACCGUUUGUUUUAGAAGAAGUAAAAUUAUUCUGGUCUGCUUAUUGCUAAGCACGCCAGGAGAAAGACUGCCUGGAGGAGCAGCUGAAGCCUGCCAUUAAUCUCUUGAGUGGCAAUGCAAAGCGAUCCCAAGGGGGAUUAAGCAAAGCAGGAAAGUAGUGAAAUGCUUCCAAAUGGGGAAAAAUAUCGUAAAUGCAUCAGGCAUGUGGGAGACAAAAAGGAAUACCAAUUUCCUGUCACCCAUUCAAGUGAAAAAUAAACACAUUAUCUUUUAGGAGCGUGCCUUGCUGGGCAAUGAGCAAGCUCUUUAUUAGGAGAGUGCUCUAAAAAAAUUAUUUCCCCACUAUUUGUUUGGAUCACUUCUCACAAGAUAGAUGAUGGAAAUCUGCAGAUUUUAGACACACGUCAUUUGGCUCCAGGCAGCAGAGCCUUUCCAAACGAAUGACGGCGAGCACGGCAACAUGCGGCCAUGUGGGGGAGGCUGCAUUCUCUGCCUAAAACCCACACUUCACCCCUUCUUUGAGCAGAAAAUGAUACGGCAUCCUGAUGUGGGCACCGCACAUAUCCAAGAGACAGUCCUUGCCAAGUCAGUAAUGGGGUGGGGGGUGGAGGGGACAAGUUUCUGCGGCGCAACAAAAGCUGCUGAUGUAAUUGCUGCUGGCAGACUGUAAGUAACAAUGUGCUGCAGGAAAGGAAGAUUUGUGCCUUGUUUUUUUGUGUGUAUGUUUGCUGAACCAUUAGACCAGUCUUUAUCUGAUAUAGCACCUAUCAUAACUAACUCACAGUACAAUGGAGAAAACUGUGAAAGCAACUCAAAAAUGAAAGGGGGCUUCAUACCCUGUUAUGAAAAAAAAUAAAAUCGUCUGUGAAGGACGCUAUAUAAAAUAAAGAUUGACAACUGUUCUUUUCCCUGUGUCACCCUUAGCAGGUCACGUCCUCCAACCUAUUCAAUUUGAGGUAAUUAUGACCAGGGCCACACCCUACCCAUACCCUCCUGGAAAUCAGAUGAUUUAGAAAUAAUAAAAUCCCCCCCCAACCCCCCCCCCCCCCCCCCCAGUUGAAAGCUGUAGGCCUUUUUUGAAGUUUCAGGCUGUUUGAGCAAAAUAUGUUAUCAAUACUGUAUAAAAACUGCAACAGCACUUGAUAUUCAACCUUUGUUGUAUUACAAACAUUCUUAAUAUAACAUUUAGUGAGUUACAAUAUGAAUAUACAGAUUUCAGAAAAUUAGUCUUGCAGCAAUCGCCCAAGUAUUUAUUGUCAUUUCAGGCUUUGAAUUGGUUGACAUGAAAAAAAGAACAAGAAAAAUAAUAUAUAUAUAUAUAUAUACACACACAUAUAACAAGAAUACUAUACAUUCAUGUAUACAAUACAUGCAUGUCUUAUGUAUACAUAUACAUACAGUAUGUACACAUAUUCACUCAUAUAUAUAUAUAAUGACUGACUGACAUGUGAGCAAAAGUAUAUGAAUACACACAUUAUAUACAUAUACUUUAUUUAGAGGGGACUAUACACAGCAUACAUGUACGUGUGUCUGUGUAUAUACUGUAUGGAUAUACACGUAAAUAAUAAAGGUUAUUACAGAAAGGCUACAUUAUUGAAAAUAAGUGAAUAACUUGCUUUUUAUUUUUUUAGUGUGCAGUUAACUGUUACCAAUUAUAUAUUAUAUAUAUUCAAAGUACGGUCAAAAAGAACGACUGCUUUGCAUACUAUUGCACUAUGAUGGCAAAUGUUGCUAUACAAAAGGCCCUGUGGCAACAUCAUUUAGGGGGAAGAUUAUCCAUUUCUGUUUAACUCCAGGAAGUCCAGUCUUUGGCCCAGUUUUCCAAAACUGUGCAUGUAGGGCUAUUUGGCGUCUCUAAACUAGCCCAUUUGGUGAAGGUAUUUAUGUUCUCAGCAUUGCUGUUAGAAUAGACUCUGACUCCCGCGAUCUUAAAUUGGAUUAAGCAGGCUUAAAAAUGUAUAGAUGGAAAAUAUGUGACAGUGGAGGACUAAGAAGUAAAAAAUUAGUCAACCUUCACUAACUCUUUUAACAAGUGUGUUGUAAUGAAAUCUUCUCUCUUUAACAAAACUGUUCAGUGUGUCAGGAGAGUAUGAGCUCCACCCAGGGAGACCUGCUAUUAUAAAAAAUGAACAGACGGUCACUCAAGUACGGGAAGACAUCAGACAUGAUUGCAGGUACAGGUUUUAUGAAGUUUUUUGACGAUUCAUGUAUGUGUCUGAGCUCUGUGAUCCCACUGUAUGUUCUUGCAGUCUUCCUCUCUUCUUUGACGUGUAGAUUGUUCUCUAUAUUGAUUAGAAUGUUAGAAAAAUGUUGACAUGAACAGGUCGUUCAGCCUAACAAAGCUGGCCAAUCCAAUCUGUUUAAUUCCUCCAAAUUAAAAUCAGUUGAAGCUUUGAAGAUCCCUAAAGUCCUCCUCUCUAUCACACUACUUGAUAACCUGUGCCAUGUGUCUAUGGUUCUGUGUGACAUACACACCCCGUCAUCGUCAACUAAAUGACUUAUUAGUGACAGAUGUGCUAGAUAUUGGUAAGCAGACUUCUGAACCAGUAUACCACGACCAUUCUUUUUGUCACAUUUCUAUAUUUACAUCAUGGUAUGCAAAUUUCUGUUUAAUUUUGACUUUACUUUGAAUAUUCAUUUUAAACACUCAAAAGCACUUGUUUUUUUUUUUCAACAGUAUAAUAUUGAUUCUUGGAUGCAUUUUUUCAAAUUUAAAGAAAUCAUUGGUUGUGUCUCAUUAUGUAUUGUAAUUUUUUUAUAUGGCGUAGGAUGGCCUCUACUUAUUACCCUGUCUUUGUUUUUAUUAGAUUUUAAAAGCUUUAAACCAUCAACUAAUAGAACCAAGCGUGUUUAGUAUCAAUCAGAAAAGGACGUCUCGUUGGUUACAGAGUGAGACGCAGUACCUUUUCCUGUUAAUGAGUUGGUGGCUGUCACAAAUAAUAAAAAAUAAAUAAAUAAAAAUGGAAAUAGCAGAAGUGUAUAUUUUACCUUUUUAUGCGCACUCUAUCUUUUGUUGAACCAACAUUAUAAGGCUUUGAAAUAAACACAAUAAAAAUACUGUUCUGGGGA